UGGACUCCAUACCUCAUAGAUGUGAUUGACUGCUGCAGGUCGCAUUAGAUUCUGGACAACUGGAAAAGCACUGCUAAAAAUAACUUAAAAUUUAUGUGCAAAGAAUUUUAAGAAACCAAGUCAGCUGUUAUCCACUAAUGUAAUCCACAUGAGACUGUGUUAUUA